AUGUAUUCCUAAAAGAUAAUAGAGAAAAAUUUAAAUUGGGGGGGGAAGUGUAGGAGCUUAAAUAGAGGAGCCCAUAAAGGGCUGAAAUAAAAUGCACCUGCUGUAGGCAGGCCAGUGCAGGGUACGCGCGUCUUAAGCAUCCCCUCAGGCUCGUGCCAAUCACGGGGAUGGAUGGAGAGAGCUCCCCUCACCCCAGGAGUGGACAACCGCUCCAGCCGCAGGGUGAGGGAGCCUGUGAGGGACCCAUCAGCCGGCCCUGCAGGGCGGGAUGGAGAAAAGGGAAAAGCACUCCCAUUUUGCCUGUUGACACCUGUUAGCGAGUGGCAGGAUUCUCAGCCGAUGAGGAGGAGGGUUUCCAUGAAGCGACUUGUUUCUGACCCUGUGGGGAGACCCCUGUAUCACAGAGUGGGCCCUGGUCACUGAAAGGUGGGAGGGCAGGCCCAGCCUGCUGGCCCAGCUCCGGCCUUGGCUGCUUCCUCCCGUCCCGACACGUUCCAAAGGGCCCCCAAGGGUCGCCGCUCUGGGCUCCGGGCCACAGACUUCCCUCGGGCAGGAGACCACGGCCCCAGGAAGCAAGAAUCUCUGCGUUCUUAGUCAACAACCUGCUGCUUCCCCUGCACCCUGCCUGUAUUCCUCUCUUGGUCCUCUUUCCCAUUCUUCUGUGUCACCUGGCGGUUUCCUUGCUGUUCAUCUCCAGCUUUCAGAAUCACUCACCAGACAGAGGGGUGCCCACGGGGAAGGGGAGGCCAGCAGCGCUGGGACCGUCCCUGAGCGUCUCGGGGCUCUGCCAGCCAAGCCCUGCCCUGCUGGCCUUCUGGGGAGGGAGGCUGCAGCCCCCAGGGCCACCCGGGAUGUGGGCAUCACUCCCCAGGGCCCAUGUGAUCAGACGUCAGAGAUACCACCCUGUGUCUGCAGCAGCCCCUCAGGUUUCCACCCGGGGCUGGCUCCUCAGGGGAAUCCCAAGCCUGGUGGGGGGAUGCCCACAGAGAGACGGGCCGGACAGCAUUCCCUCCCUGGCCUCUCCUCCUGCCUGUCCUUCCCCAUCUUGUAACUGGCCCAGGAGAAAAAUUCUGGACAGGAACAGCCUGGACACGUGCAUACGCAACUCUCCCUAAGCCUUUCCAACUCCCUGGGGCUCUCCAUGGACCACAGGGACCUCAAGCUAGGGUGACGUGAUAUUCCAGUUCGCCCAGGGCAGGCCUGGCCCACGGCCUAGGUUAAUCACGAUAACGCCUCUGUCACUCUCGGAAGGGCCCGGGUUGGAGCCUCCCCCUCUGCAGCGCACAGUUCUGCCAGCUGUCUUUUCACACCAGACUGACAUGCUGCCUACUCCAGACCGUCCAGUGGCUCCCCACUACUCACAGAAUGAGAUCCUGGGCCCUUUGUGACCCGGCCCCCACCACCCUGCCUGCUUCCGUGCCUGCCACCCUCCUCCCACCAGGGGUCCGGUCACACAGGGCUCACGCAUUGCUGCUCUGACUUGCCCUCCAGCUCAGUCCUGGAACUGACCUCUGUGUCAGCCGCUGGAAAGCUUUUUCUGACUUCCUCAUCCAUCAGAGGUAGCCGCUCCCUCUCUGAGCUCCAGCAGGACCGUGUCUGUAACAGUGACUAGCCUGACUUCCGGCAUGUUGGCCACGGCUCGGACCGCGCACCUGUUAGCGCGCAAGGCCGUGGGGCCGCAGAAAUCCAAGACUUGAGGUUCUCCUGCAGAACUGCCAUCGACAGCUUGAGGCUCCAUCCCCCCUCCCAGGAAAGAUGGCAAAUGUGGGCUUGCUGGCACAAAAGAAGGAAAUUAAAGCCAUUUGGAC
rnacentral:lncRNA from 1 species